GGGAAACGGGGCGCGGCC
rnacentral:miRNA from 1 species